AUCAGAUAAUCGAUUCAUUUUUGGAAGUGCGGGUUAAGCCCAUUCCAUUCACUCACGAGUCACGCCCACCUCUCUCACGCAGCUCUCCCUCGCCUCUCUCACGCAGCUUUCUCUCGCCUCUCUCUCCGCCCCUCUCUCUCGCCUCUCUCUCUUCCUCGCAUCUCUCUUUCUCAUCACUCCUUCCUCGCAUCUCUCUCUCAUCUCUCUCUUCUUUUUCUGCCUCUCCCCCUCUUCAGUCGCCUCCAUUGUUGCUCUCAGACAAGGGCGAUUCAGAGUUCAGACUCUCGCAUCUUCGACUCCGCAGAUUUCAAUAAGCUCCAUGUCCGACGCAUCUCAAGCAUUCACUUUACCAUUUGCAACGAUUUUGAGAUCUAAAAUUAUCUAAGCAUACAGUAAUGGCACGGCUUCCGUUAAGUAAAAGAAAUUCUAGGCGAAGGAAGAGAAUUAUGUUAUAUAUGGUUUGGCUCUGGGCAUUCACAAGCUUUUAAAUUGGCAGUCUCAAGCUUCAGAGUCCUUGACUGGAGUGUUUUUGGUGGUCCUUGAUGAUGAUUCACUUGAUUAUAUCAGUAUUAAGCUUUUAAAUUGGCAUACUGUUGAGUUUUUAUUUCCUGGCAAACUGCCCUUUCUUCAGCCUUAUUGGUGUAAUUUUUGGUCAGUCUGAAAAGCCAUAGUAUGUUGUUUUCUUUGCUGAUGUGCCUGCAAAUUAUAUUAUAACACUACUACAAUUUAGUUAAUAGACAUCGGUUUUUGGCCGAUGUCUUUGUGUAUCAGCCUCCGAUGUCUAGGUCGGCGAUGUUAAAGGUCCUAUACAAAGACAUCGGCCAAAAACUAAUGUCUCUGUGACUUUUAUCAUCGUUUUUUAGCUUAAAUACUGAUGUCUAUCAGACGUUUUUAUGAUUAAACUACAUGAUUUAAUUGUGCAUAAUGUAAUAUUAUCUCUAUAACACUAAUUUAAACAUGCGACUCGUAAGAAAUUAGAUGACAUAGACAUCGUUUCUUUAUAGGUUCCGUUGUUGUAAGCUCUUUUAUACAUCAGUUCUUUGUAAUCAACGAUGUAUAUGAUGAUAAUAACAUCGUUUUCUUAAAAAUUCUGUUGUCUGAGUAUGUUUUAUACAUCAGAUGUUUGUAAUAACCGAUGUAUAUGCUAAGAAUAACCUCAGUUUUUACAUAAAAAGUAAUGUUUAGAGUUAGAUUUUACAUCAGUUCUUGUUUUAAUAAGUGUUGUCUUAAGUGUUUUUUGACAUCUUCUUUUGAAAUAAAAUAUGAUGUGUAUUUCGUUUUUUGCCACUAGUUUUCAGUCACAUGCACAUCAUAGAACCCAAAAUACUAUUCAUAUUCAUUCAUAAAAACCGCAAUACCAAUAUCCAACAUUUAAUCAUAUACAACCAAUAUACCAAAAAAGCCCAAACUACCAAAAUCUAAAGUCAUCCAAAAACUCCAAACUAAAAUAAUCUAGUUAGCCAUCGGCCAAAAUCCAAACUCCAAACUCCAAACUCUUUGGCGGCCUGUAAAAGACAUAUACUUCAUGUUAAUUAUGACUUAGAAAUGAAUAAGAAAAAUACCAAUCAACACGAACGAUAAAUAAAUGAAUAAGAAAACACACACACACACACAUAUAAAUCCAUAAGGUAGUGGAUAAGUAUAACUGGAUAUACAUGCCAUUGAGGAAUACUACUAAAUUUUCUACAAUCACUUCCUGGAAAUUAAACUAUUAACUUAUGAUUAUGCUUAUAAUUAUCCACCCCUGUUUAUUAUGCUUAUGAUUUAUUAUGGUACUUUUUUCUUCAAAAACUAUUAACUCUUUAUGAAAGGACAGUAAGGAUAAUAAAUGUAAGAUAGCAACAGUUCAGAUUGCAAGACUGUAACUUAGCAAAAACAAAAAACAAACAAUAACACUGUAAGAGGGAAAUUAUUGGUACAUAGGUCAAAUUGUAAACUACUGACUUGUACAAGCAUACUAACGGUCCUAUUCACAGCAUAUGCUAGAACUAGUACAUAAGUAUAUGUCUAUACAGCGCAACACGCAGUAGGCAAAACUGAAAUAGAAGCUAAAAUAACUAGAGAAAGAUACCAAUGUAGGCAUGUGGAAAGAGGGGUAGCAACUGUGAAGACAAAAUAUAUUAAGACAAGAAUUAGAUGAGAAGGUACCGAUUGACCUUUGUACAGAAUUUAUGUGCAUGACUUCUGAUCUGCACCGCAGUCUUGGUUGCUAUAUUUUUUGUGCACCAAAAGACAAUAAAGAAAAGAAAAAAGAACAUAAAUUGGUACCACAAGGAUUAAUAAACUGGUAUCGCAAGUUGAAGUGUCAAUACUUAGCAUUGAUUGUUAAAGAACAACACAUACUGAGUCUAUAUUAAUUUGAAUUCACUAAUUAUGUUACAUGAGAAUAAUUUCUAUUUUAACCAUCAAACUACAAGUUGGUACCAGAUAUUCAGAUAACAGAUCAGUAGAUUCAGAAUCCAGCUUCCACAUACUGCACUCUGUUUCUAUUUCAAUAUCCUCGGGUUUAUAGAAGUUUUAGCAUUUUCAAUCGCUUUUUAUGUUCCGAGUCCAGCGUCGGUGAAGUGUAAAUGCCAUGAAGAUUCUCCACUAUGUAUUCCUGAAAGAUUGUAAAGUAUCUUAUGAUUCAAAUUUUAAACAUGGACAAAAAGGAGAAGUGAAACAGAGAAAAACAAUGCUUAGACUUCUAAUCUGGUUUCAAGAAUGGUAUAUAUUCAAGUUUAUCAUGACGUCGUAUGAUACCAGAUGCUAAGAUACAUUGCUUUUAUGCGUCAAUAGAAUAUGCGUGUGUAAACAGAUUCUAUAAAGAUGCAGAAUAAUAUUAUCACCUGAGUAAGUUCCCUCUUGGAGAUGCAGAAUAAUAUAAUUUGCCUUGUCAUAUAUAAUACUACAACACAUAUACGCAUCACCGCGAUGUACAACACCCCUAGCAAUGUUUCACCCUGUUAAUGAUAUUCAUCAACUUAGCUCUACACUAAUCAAGAUCAACUCGUACACUUACCCAGCGACUUAACCACUAUAUAGCCUUAACCUCUUAAACUAAUCAACAAUUAUACAAAUUACUAUAACAUACAUCAAUUAACAACUAUCAGCCACUCUCGAAUGAGGAAAAGUAAGAACUCGAAAAACAAGAGCAGAGCAACAAAUAUCCAGAAGAUAUGCCACAUAAAUAUUAAACCUACAAAACCAGCACCAACAAUUAACAAUUACUACCAAUUUACCUAGUUUUGUGCUUAUAAGUAAAUUUCAGAUCAAAUAAGUCAAAUAUCACUUGAAGUUGAGUCACACUUAAAACUGUUGUAACCGAUACAUAAACUUUAAAAUUCUUGAUUCUUAAGAAAUCAAGCAAACACAACUUAUACUCAAAGUAACUAGCCAUAUCAUCUUACCACAAAAACAAAAGUAAUUUAAUAGCUCCUUAAUUAGAAAAGAUUCAAUCUUUCUUUACCCUUUAGUUACAUGAAUCAGUAUCAGUUCCUCAUUCGAGUAAAUAUUUAAAUAAAAAUAUAUCAAACAAUCAUUUCAGUAAUAUUUCCUAUUUUGAGUAAAAAAUCAUUUUAAAUACACACACAAGAAGCAAAGAAAUGGCAGAUAGAAUCUAUACACAUAACUAUAGAUACAACUAAAAGCAUGAAAAGGGCUGCCUUAUAAUUUUACCAAAGACCACCAAAACCAGCAGCUAAAAAAGCACCCUUCUUGUUCUUUGCCUUGAAACAAUACAAGCACUCUGUGAAUCAGCUAACGGGUAUGCCUUUGGGUUCACUUCUCCUGCACUCUAGAAUUUCAAGAACAUAUAUAUAAAAAUUCAAGAAAACACACACAAACAGAGGGUGAGGGAGAGGGGGAGAGAGGGAGGGUACCAUUCUCAAUUUUCCAGUGAGUUAAAAUUCAUCAAUAUACAACUAAAUCUCUGCAAAUGAGCCGGAAACAAUAUACACAUCAACAAUUACACAAAAUCAAACAAAACCCUAACUAAAAAGCAGAAAACUCACAUGGAGAAACUCCAGCUUGUCUUAGAGGUUUUUGAGAGCAGUUCGAAUAGCAAUUAAAAGACUUGGCCUCACAAAUAGCCAAAUCAUCACCCGAAAACCCCUUAACAAAAACAAACCCAUUCCCAUUCUCCUCAUACCCCCAAACCCAUUUCUCUUCCGCCCCGGAUCUGCCCGAAGAACUGAUUUACCACCAAGAAUGAGUUUGCAAAAAUCACAGUUAGGGUUCGGAGGGGGAGAGUGAUUGAGUAAUGGAGGUGGAAGUAUAGAGAUGAGUUGGUAAGUGUAGCUGUUUGGGGGCCGAUUGUAGGGUUUGAGAUUUGUGAUUAGUCUCGUCAGUUUAUUUUGGGGAGAGAGAUAUUGAGAGAGAGAUUGAGGGAGAGAGAAUUAUGUUUUUCUGAUUUUUGGGGUUAAAGAAAUUUGGGGACUGAAGGUUUGAAAGGGGGGAAUAUUUUGGUGUUUAUUUUGUUUGAUUUUGGGGUUAAAAGAAUUGGGGGGAACGAAAAUUUGACUAAGGGCGGAAAUAUACAGGAAAUAUUUGGGGGAGGGGGGAAAGACAUGGUUGCCGCGCGCUUUUUGUUUUUAAUUCAAAGAAGAUAGACAUCGGUUCUUAUAUUAACUGAUGUCAAAAAUGUAAUAGACAUCGGUUAAUUUUUAGCCGAUGUUAAUACAAGCUUUUACAUCGUGGCCAAAGUCGACCGAUGUCUAUACCCUGAUGUCUAUUCUACUUUUUCUAGUAGUGUAAAUUCUGUUCAAAACUCUUCAUCUCUUCUGUCUCUGUCUUGUAAAUUCAUCUCUUCUGUCUCUGUCUUGUAAAUUCUAACACUCUUUCAAUAUGUCGUCUGUCUUUAAUAAGCAGAGCUGCUUAGCUAGAGCCUAGAAGCUGGUUCAUCAAGGUGUAAAGCUCUUUCAAGUACCUUUAUUUCGAUGGAGUAUUGUCAUUGUGAGAGCAAUCACCAUUCAAGUCACUAUCUUCUAUCAUAUCCAGAUAGAGAGAUAACUAGACCUGCUCCAAGAUCGACCACCGGAAGAUGAUGUCUGUUUAACUCUACAUUAUGGAAUAAUGCCUGCACGUGUUGCGGUUCUCCGGUGUUCUCUUAUUCACUUCCCAAAUUUUGUAUUUUAUUUGUAAAUUAUGAAGGAGAAUUGAUAGUGGCCAAAGUUUGGAUUUUAUUUGUAAAUUUGUAAUAUUUAUUGUAGUUGAUUUUAUACUAAUAAUUUGCGUAAUGAAAUGGGAAGUAUGCUAUUGAUAUGAAAUUAA